rnacentral:misc_RNA from 1 species
AAGUCGUAACAAGGUUUCCGUAGGUGAACCUGCGGAAGGAUCAUUAGCGAAUUGCUUAGAAGGUUGUUGCUGGUCUUCUUGCAUUAGGGACAUGUGCACAUCUUUUAUCUCUUCAUCCACCUGUGCACCCUUUGUAGGCUUGAGUUUGGGAUUGUAGAGUGUUUGCAAGUCUCUUAAUGAGAUGAGCUUCACUUGAUGAACUCCUCCAACCUCAAGUUCCUAUGAUUUUACAAACCCUUUUUAACAUAUAAUGUAUUUGGUUGGCUUUAAUAUAAAAUACAACUUUCAACAAUGGAUCUCUUGGUUCUC